rnacentral:rRNA from 1 species
GACGUAGGGGGCCAGCGUUGUUCGGAAUUACUGGGUGUAAAGGGUUCGUAGGCGGUGUGGCAAGUCGGGAGUGAAAUCUCUGGGCUCAACUCAGAGACUGCUUCCGAAACUGCUGUGCUGGAGUGUGGGAGAGGCGCGUGGAAUUGCAGGUGUAGCGGUGAAAUGCGUAGAUAUCUGCAGGAACACCCGUGGCGAAAGCGGCGCGCUGGACCACUACUGACGCUGAGACGCGAAAGCGUGGGGAGCGAACAGG